AGCCAGACUCCUACGGGAGGCAGCAGUGAGGAAUAUUGGUCAAUGGGCGGGAGCCUGAACCAGCCAAGUCGCGUGAGGGAAGACGGUCCUACGGAUUGUAAACCUCUUUUGCCGGGGAGCAACGGGGUCCUUGCGAGGGCCCGAUGAGAGUACCCGGAGAAAAAGCAUCGGCUAACUCCGUGCCAGCAGCCGCGGUAAUACGGAGGAUCCGAGCGUUAUCCGGAUUUAUUGGGUUUAAAGGGAGCGUAGAUGGGUUGUUAAGUCAGUUGCGAAAGUUUGCGGCUCAACCGUAAAAUUGCAAUUGAUACUGGCAGUCUUGAGUACAGUUGAGGUAGGCGGAAUUCGUGGUGUAGCGGUGAAAUGCUUAGAUAUCACGAAGAACUCCGAUUGCGAAGGCAGCUUACUAAACUGCCACUGACAUUGAUGCUCGAAAGUGUGGGUAUCAAACAGGAUUAGAUACCCUGGUAACC
rnacentral:rRNA from 1 species